rnacentral:rRNA from 1 species
GACGAACGCUGGCGGCGUGCUUAACACAUGCAAGUCGAACGAAGUGGCGAACGGGUGUGUAACGCGUAAUCAAAAUGCACUUCAGAGGGGGACAACAGGUGGAAACGACUGCUAAUACCGCAUACUGAAGGAGGGGAUUGCGUCUGAUUAGCUAGUGGGAGGGGUAACGGCCCACCAAGGCGAUGAUAAGUAGCCGGUCUGAGAGGAUGAACGGCCACAUUGGGACGGAGACACGGCCCAGAAUCAUACGGGAGGCAGCAGUGGGGAAUCGUCCGCAAUGGACGAAAGUCUGACGGAGCAACGCCGCGUGAGUGAUGACGGCCUUCGGGUUGUAAAGCUCUGUUAAUCGGGACGCGGUACCGGAAUAGAAAGCCACGGCUAACUACGUGCCAGCAGCCGCGGUAAUAC